rnacentral:rRNA from 1 species
CCUACGGGAGGCAGCAGUGAGGAAUAUUGGUCAAUGGGCUUACGCCUGAACCAGCCAAGUCGCGUGAGGGAAGACUGCCCUAUGGGUUGUAAACCUCUUUUGUCAGGGAGCAAUUGGCGCUACGUGUAGCGUUAUCGAGAGUACCUGAAGAAAAAGCAUCGGCUAACUCCGUGCCGGCAGCCGCGGUAAUCCGGGGGAUUCGAGGGUUAUCCGGUUUUAUGGGGUUUAAAGGGUGCGUAGGCGGAAUGCCAAGUCAGCGGUAAAAGCGCGGGGCUCAACCUCGCUCCGCCGUUGAAACUGGCGUUCUAGAGUGGGCGAGAAGUAUGCGGAAUGCGUGGUGUAGCGGUGAAAUGCAUAGAUAUCACGCAGAACUCCGAUUGCGAAGGCAGCAUACCGGCGCCCAACUGACGCUGAAGCACGAAAGCGUGGGUAUCGAACAGGAUUAGAUACCCUGGUAGUC